rnacentral:rRNA from 1 species
UACAGAGGUGGCAAGCGUUGUUCGGAAUUACUGGGCGUAAAGAGCUCGUAGGCGGUUUGUUGCGUCGGCUGUGAAAUCCCGAGGCUCAACCUCGGGUCUGCAGUCGAUACGAGCAAACUAGAGUGUUGCAGGGGAGACUGGAAUUCCUGGUGUAGCGGUGAAAUGCGCAGAUAUCAGGAGGAACACCGGUGGCGAAGGCGGUUCUCUGGGCAUUACCUGACGCUGAGGAGCGAAAGUGUGGGGAGCGAACAGG